UUGACCCAUCAUUUGUUCCUUCCCCCAGUUCUGAGCUCCAUCCAGUUCCAGGGCCACGUAGGGAAGGGCCGUGGUACAGUCCCGGACGCCACACCAGUGAGAUAUUUAUAGCUAGUUAGGCCUACUGGAAAGACAGAGGAGGAGCCCGCCCAACCCUUCCAGGGGGCUGCGUCUCCCCCAUCGGCCCAGCAGCCGUGCCGGAGGACAGGGCUGGGGGCCGUGCCGCCGCUGGAGGAGCUGCCUGCGUUCUGCUCCUUUCCCCGCUGGGAACCACCUCUGGCGGGGCUGCUGUACAGACGGAGGAGGCAGGGGCUGGCAGCGGCCGGGAUCCUGCUCCUUUCCCCGCCGCGCUUGCCUGGAGAGCCCUGGGCGGCCGGAGCCGCGGCAGAACACGAGGCCCCGGGGCAGCCCCACGCUGGCGGCUCUACCGGCCCCGGCCCCGCACCCCCGGCCCUGCCCUCUGGCAGGAGGACUCAGGAGACACAGCGGCACGGAAGGGCUGGGGGCGGGGUUGGGGGCAGUACGGUCGCCGCGCUGGAGGAGCAGCCGGCGCGGGGCUGCCGCUGCUGAGUCCUCCUGCCUGGGGUCCGCACAGCAGAAGUUUCCAGCGCAGCGGGGCGGGAGACAGAGUCCCCCUCCCCCCGCAGGUUGCUGUACGUGAAACAUACAUGACACAAAGCUUCAAAAGCAGAAAGACAGAUAGAACAUGAAACCACCUGACCUCUACUCCUUCCAGACAGACGCAUCACUACUAAAUUACCACAUUCCACAGACAACCUACCACAACCUCUAUUACGCUUGCAGUGCCAGCCUUUCAUCGUUCCCUGGCUCAAACUUGGCUGACUGCACAAACCGACCUGGGGCUGAGUAGAUGGACUUGAUUAUAUUUCCAUACUUUAUUUCCCCCCCUUAUAUCUAAAAAUUGUUUUAUUUAUUUACUUGUUACAGCAUAAUAGGAUAAUUUCAUCUUUGGAGUAACUACUGAAUGGAUUUACAGUAGGGACUGAAUUUGACCUAGCACUGCUUCUAUAUAGCCACCCUUUGAACUAAACAUGAAAACCUGGAGAAAUAAAAAUUAAUAUUUUAAGUCAUGUAAAAAUCGUAUUUUCUGUGAAUUAAUUUUUACUGGGAGCAAAGAGGUUUACGUGAUUAUUGCAUAGAGAUGGACCCAGUGUUAUAGUCAGUCUCUGAGAGAGACCAGUGUAUAACGGCCAACAGCCCAGUGGUUACAGUACUGACCGGGGUCAAGACCCACCCCUAGAUCAGGCAGAGCAAGGAUUCCCUGACCACCAGGCUAUUGGCUAUGCUGGAUUCACACUGCUCUAUUUUUUGUAAAAAAAUGUCCAAAGCUCUCAAAUUCAUCCCAAUACAGUACAGGAAAAAAAUGUUGAAAUCUCAAAAAUAUUAAUGGGACAGGAAAACCACUUGCCAUCCAGUUCUAAUUAGGUAUAACACAAACACCCAAGUAGUCAUGUGGGCAUAGUAUGUGUGCGUGUUUUACUAUAUUACAUAUAUAGGAGGAGUAGAUAGAGGGCAAAAGCAGCAUGUAACCAAUACGGUAGGCAAUAGAUUUGGGUCAGCUUGGGUGUCAUCGGUGCACCAUAGCAGGUAGAUAAGGCAAGAGCAUCCAUUUGUGGUAAAAUGUUUCCUUCCCCUUCUCCACAACCUCUGAGCUAAAGUCCUUUCUAGAAGGUGGCCAGGCAAUCUGCUCCCCUCAUGUGGGAAGGCAGCAUCUGCAUGGCAACUCCCCAGUCCAACAAAGCAGGCAGAAGCCCACAGGAGUCAGCACUCCUACUGGCGCCACUGAACUGUCUUUGAAAAUUUAGCAAUACUCUAGGGCAUCCCCAAACCUGAGCCAGCCCCAGACUGCACAGUGGGACCGUAAAACCCUGCAGCAUAUGAGGAUCCUGCUCUCUUUUCCUGCUAGAGCUGCGGACCUCUCAGGAAGGAGACGGGGGGAAUCUUGCACACACUGAGAUUUUACAGUUCUCAAGGGGUCCUGGGGUGAAAACUGCAGCUAAACCCCAACAGUAUCUUUAAAUUUAAAGAUACAGUUCAGCAGGGUUUGCUGGGUCCCAUGGGCCCCAAAUGGGUUUAGGGCUAACUCAAGGUAUAAGGAAUCAAUCCAGCUGGUUUUUACUUUCUCUGAGCCUCUGCACUCAUCACUACCCCUGCCAAAUAUUAGCUCUUGGGAAGAAGUCAGAACCAAACAAAAACUCUAUUAACAGUGCACUCUGCUGUACGUUAUACUCUACAUACCACUUCCAGGCACCUUCUUUGUUACCACUCUCACCCUCCUGCUAUUAUUUUCUCUCUAUUACUGUGAAGUGUUCAACCUUGUAAAGCACUUGGAGAUACAGUGUGUAUGAA